rnacentral:lncRNA from 1 species
GGCCCCGCCCCCGCCCCUGCCCCGGGGCAGCCUGUGCUGUUCCGUGUGCGCGGCGCAUACGCACCUGGGUUGUCUCGAGCCUGCGGUAGUGGCCAGAUCCCAGACAUCCGAGUAGAUCCCGUGAAAAGGUCUCCCACGUGGGCUGUGGACAGGGCCCAAGGGUAGCAGAGCUAGCAGAGGCAGUGACGGACUGUGUGGCAGGUCAUUUGCAAGGAGAAAAGCCGUCUGCCUCUUAAUUUGUGGCUCAAGUUUCAGAAUUUUUUUCCUGAGGGACUUUAGAAAUUACUUCAGGCUUGCCACCUAACCUUAAACCACCCCCUUGGAGACUGGCUAAGUGUUAUUUGUGUUUUCUGUUUAGUUCUUAUCACCAUCGAUACUUGGUUAUGACUGGUUGUGUACAUUGGUUAGCCCAGCAAGUAUUACUUCUCCAGCUUAACAGAUGUGGAAACUUAAGCCCAGAGACAUGAGUUGACACCCCACCCCCAAAGCUAGAGUCUAAAACCCUUUCUUUCGCUCCUCAUCUCCCACAGGAUAAAAUGCAAAUUAAUCAGACUAGUGGUGAGGCCCUCCGUGGUGUGACUAACCUGCAUCCCGACGUUUUCACCCUACUUUGAUCCAGAAAGCACCUUUCCGCCCCAUCUCUUCUCCUUUCCUUAAAUACCCCUUACAACUUCCUGUACCAUUCUUCCCUGUUCAGCUUCUUCUUGGUUUCUUCGUACAUUCUGGAUCCACCCCUUUCAUGCAUAUUCCAGACCACAUUUCCACUGGAGCAGUUGAAAUGAGAGAGAUGGGAAUGGGACUCACCCGAACCAGAGGAAUUUUUAUUACAGACCCAUUAACAGAGGUGUCAAAGUCACAGGAACAAGGAUGUGCACCUCAGAAACACAGAGGUCAGUGGAAAAUCAGUUUGCUUCUAUUUGUUUAAAAAAUGGGGGACUUAUGCAUAAAUCUAAGACCUUCUUGAAUCUAACAUUCUAAGACCUGUAUGCCACAGAAAGGAGGGUCUCAGAACGCCGGAGGAUAGUAUUUAAAUCUUAAAUAUCUAUAUUGUUCUCCACAGUUACUGGGUCACCACAUAGCAGGCAUUCAAUAAAAACGUGUUUGUUUACUAAGUAA